UGCUUGGGUAGCUCAGUUGGUAGAGCACUUGCCCGCGGAAGGCAAAGGUCCCGAGUUCGAGUCUCGGUCCGGCAC
rnacentral:tRNA from 1 species